GCCGGUCCUGAUCAGGUGGAUCAGCUCCUCGUACGGCUUGCCGGCGAACUCCGCCUGGACCCGUUCCAGCCGGGCGGCCAGCG
rnacentral:tRNA from 2 species